rnacentral:lncRNA from 1 species
CUUCAUCAAAUUAAUUGAAACACCUUUGUCCAUAUUAGAACUUUAUUCGAACUCAAGUGAUCUGCUCUUCCUUGGCUAAGGCUCCGUUUAAUCGAAAAAAAAAACUUUUAGCAACAAACAAUUCCCAACCCGACUAACAUUUUACCCAAAAUUUGACAUUACUGAUAGACGAAGAGUAAAACCAACGCAUCAAAAUUAGAAGUUAGACCCUACUAAUUCUCCUACGAGAUGGCCAGUCAUGUUCUCAAGCAAUUCCAAGGCCAACAACCUCAUCGUGAAAAUUCUAUUUUCACGACAAUAAAGAUCCAAAUAUUUCUCAUUUUAACAAAGACAUACCACAUAGAUAGAACACAUCCAUCUGAACAAUUUAAACAACUGAAACAAUGAAUUAAUAAAAUUAUGACUCAAAACUUGUAUAAACUAAUUUCAAAGGUAGAGAACUAAAUGAAAAUCACUUCAUCGCAAUUAAGGAGGCAAACAACAGACUAGGGGAAUCACUAUUUCUAGCAUGAACUUCAGCACAUGAUUUAUCCAUUCUGCUAUUAAAAAAGGGGUUCACAACAGACCCUUCCAUUUUUCAAAACUUUUUGUUGGCGAAGAGCAGCAACCAUAACACAUGGAUGCCAAAUUAAUAAUCGGCUGUAAACGAGAUCAACAAAGCCAAUCUCCAAGAAUGGCUGAAGACGGCAGAAUCCCAGCCAAGGAAAGUGUAGACAACCAGUGAACAAAUUUUAAAAGCUCUAAAUUAACAGACUAACAUGGGAAUGGGAAACAUAAUACACUUGACCAAAGUUAGUAGUAAUACAUAAAAACCAACUCAUAGCUCCUAAGGAUAAUCAACUUAAGUUUACUUCAAGUAAUGCAAGCCACAAAUUAGUUCAUCUAUCAAAAUAAACAUUCAAUAAACUGAGGUUUAUUCUCAAAUCUUCCAACUCGGAUUACAUGCUCCAAGUUUGAGCUUCAACAUAUGAUUAAAAUCUAAAAGAGUACCUGGAAGUAAAGAUGGAACAGAAAGGUAAGGAUUUCAGCAGUAACAGUAGCUCAACACGUCAACAACAACAGUACUCAGUUCUUCUAGACCAUUUUCAGACCCAAGAUGAACCAGAAAUUCUUUUGAACGUUUCAGGCCAUUACUAACAAUGAACCUAGGGAGCAACUCUCAGCAAUUUUAGUUCAAAUGAUGUAGAAAACUUCUACAUAUUCUAGAGUAUCCAAGGCUCAGCUGUUUGUUCUUUUUCAAUAUUUUUAUCUCUUAAAGUCUACCUUGAAAGGUAAGGAAAUGUGUCUUUAUAGGAAAGGGAGUAGGGCAACAGCUCUGAAUUAGUUUUUGUACUUCUAGUCCCUCUAUAAUUCUCGUUUUAGCUUACGAACCCCCUAGUCAAUUUUCCUUUUUGCUAAUUUAACCUUAGUUCAAUUUCAAUUUUGCAGCCAAUUCCCCUUCACCAUCUUUCUAGAAGCUUUCCAAGCAAUUGCAAAUAGAUUUCCCUCAACCAAUUACCUAAAAUACCCCUUAGAGCCUUGUUUUGUUUUACUGCAGCUCACCACAUGGGUCAAGUUGACCCAUGGUUUAGCUCCAAACCGGAUUUUCCUUCUCUUUGGGCCUUCAAAUUACCCGAAACCCAAACCAAUUCAGCAAUUCAUAAUGGAUCCAACCCAAAAUUCAAGCCCUCAAGGAUUGCAAACCAAACCAGUUACGGACUUAAAUCAGAAACAAAAGAAAAAGAACUAAUUACAUGAAAAAGCCACUAACCUCCUCUCACUUUAAUCAUGCAAUAUAAAUUACUCCAACAUAUGAACACCAAUAAAGAACAGAAAAGAUAAACGGAAUAAUGCGAAUAUGGAGGAGUAACAUGAAAAAACAAAUUUAAUAACAAGACAUACGAGGAAGACGAAAGAGGUAGGACGGAGAGGAUACCUCUAAGAUCACCCGAAAGAAGCGUGAAAAACUUUAACAAACUUUGAUUUGAUUUGAAACAAGUAUUAACCGUAUGUUCUCAAAGAAAACAAGCGUUCAAUACCCGUUUCAAGCCCUAUCGUUCAAGGGAAACUGAAGGCUUUGACAGAUUCUUUUCUUCUUUGCCUUCAGAUUCGAAAAUAGACUGAUUUAGUGAAGAUUUGGGGAAAAAUGAUGGUGGAUUGGGGUUGAGAAAAGGAUGAUAGUUGUAUGGGUGAAAUUUGGGUGGUUUUUGAGUUCUUUUGCUUGGUGAAAAUGGCGGAACUCAGGGCUGGUUAAGGUUGAUAUGAGAUAGAUGGGGGAGAUUAGAGACCGAAGUGAUUUGGUCUCUGAGGAUGUUUGGGACAGUUUUAAGGAAAAAGGGGUGGGGGGGAU